GCAUCAUGGACUGCAGGGGGAUGUCAAGUACCACAAAUACAACUGUCAGUGGUGAAGCCACAUAACAGGAUCACAGAGCUCCCCACAAAGCAGUGACACGCCCACCUGAAACUCUUGAUAUCAACAUAAAUUCAAACUGUCAUUUAUUCAUGUGUUCCUGUCGUCUACAACAUGGACAUUUUCACAUAUGGUCACCUCAGCUUUUUGAUAUUUCUGCUUUGGAUCAAAGGUCUAAUUGAUGCCAAGGAUGUCACACAAACUCCCAUGCUGUGGGAACGACAGGGUAAUAAUGCAACAAUGGACUGCAGCCAUACCAAGGAUGCUAACUAUAUCCAGAUGUACUGGUACAGACAGCUGCCAGGAGAAAAUAUGGAACUGAUUGUGUUCACGACAACAGCCAAAAAAUACGAUCACGACUUUGGAAAAUUCAAAAAAGAGAAAUACUCAGCCACAAAGACUGAGGUUCGCGAUGGGACAUUUACAGUGAAGGACCUGCAGCCAAAAGACAGCGGCUGGUAUUUCUGUGCCGUCAGUAAGCACAGUGAUACAGACUCAUGUGAAAGCUGAACAAAAACCUCACUGAAUGGUCGGCACAAGUGUUGCAAUUAUUUCCUGUACUGUAGGGGGACCUCAAGUACAACUACAGAUCAGAGGAUCAUAUGAAGGUCUUCAACUUCCCAAAUCACAGCUCACACACACGCUUGUUUCUUAAAUUUAGGUUCGUCAGAGCACAAUUAUUGAUCACAAUUGAUCUGAUCAAGCCCUCUUUAGCUCUGUUCUUCAUUAGAGGUACUGUCCAUUAAAAUGGUCAUCUGUACUUGUCACUCUGCUCAGUUAAAUUAACUUAUGGGGAA